GGUCGUCCCCUGUAGGAUGAAACCCGCAUGGCGCAAUGAAAGUAACGGUCGCGUCAGGUCGCCUCUGCAGUCCGAGCAGGGGGCCUGCCGGCCGAGGCGGGAUCCGCAUCGGGUGAUUUAUCUCGGUAAUAAUAAGCCCUGCGGCGCACCGCCGGCCCGUCUUCUCCGCACCGUCGGUGAGGCGGAGCCAGAGCGCACACGUUGGGACCCGAAAGAUGGUGAACUAUGCUUGGGCAGGACGAAGCCAGAGGAAACUCUGGUGGAGGUCCGUAGCGAUUCUGACGUGCAAAUCGAUCGUCAGACCUGAGUAUAGGGGCGAAAGACUAAUCGAACCAUCUA
rnacentral:rRNA from 1 species